rnacentral:snRNA from 1 species
GUCGUUUACAGAACCGAU